rnacentral:rRNA from 1 species
CAGAAGUGGCAAGCGUUGUUCGGAAUUACUGGGCGUAAAGGGCGCGUAGGCGGCCAUCUAAGUCAGACGUGAAAUCCCCCGGCUUAACCUGGGAACUGCGUCUGAUACUGGACGGCUUGAGUAUGGGAGAGGGAUGUAGAAUUCCAGGUGUAGCGGUGAAAUGCGUAGAUAUCUGGAGGAAUACCGGUGGCGAAGGCGGCAUCCUGGACCAUUACUGACGCUGAGGCGCGAAAGCUAGGGGAGCAAACGGGAUUAGAUACCCCGGUAGUCCUAGCCCUAAACGAUGAAUGCUUGGUGUGGCGGGUAUCGAUCCCUGCCGUGCCGAAGCUAACGCAUUAAGCAUUCCGCCUGGGGAGUACGGUCGCAAGGCUG